UGGGUACGACCAUACUUGGCUGAACAUACCAUAUCCCGUCCGAUUUGUGAAGUCAAACAGCCACAGGCCUGGUUAGUACUGGGGUCAGUGAUGACCCGGGAACCCCAGGUGUUGUACUCCCUCACAACACUUUUUUUUC
rnacentral:rRNA from 1 species